UACGAAGGGGGCUAGCGUUGUUCGGAAUCACUGGGCGUAAAGGGCGCGUAGGCGGCUUUAUAAGCCGGGGGUGAAAGCCUGUGGCUCAACCACAGAAUUGCCUUCGAUACUGUAGAGCUUGAGACCGGAAGAGGUUAGUGGAACUGCGAGUGUAGAGGUGAAAUUCGUAGAUAUUCGCAAGAACACCAGUGGCGAAGGCGGCUGACUGGACCGGCAUUGACGCUGAGGUGCGAAAGCGUGGGGAGCAAACAGG
rnacentral:rRNA from 1 species